UUAAAUUCUAUGAAGAGAAAGAGUACGUUAUUGGUUCUGUUCCACAGAGAGCUGGUGUUUGCUGAAAACCAGUGUUCAGAUAAUAGCCGAAAAUCAUCUCCGAGAAGUAAAGCUGAAUUUUUAGUAAGCUUUAUCGGUCCCCUCCGUGACAAGGGACAACGUAUGAUUGUACGUUUGUAAAGGGUAGUAAAGUGUUAUUACAAACAUUUUAUUAAACAAGAGUGGUACCGCGAGUUUCAAUCUCGUCUCUUAC
rnacentral:ncRNA from 1 species